CGGGUCCCACGCAAUGGCUGCCCGCGAACCGUGUCAGGUUGGGAACAAAGCAGCACUAAGCGGGAUUUUCCAUGUGACGUGGCAAAGCCU
rnacentral:SRP_RNA from 1 species